AGAGAGCGCCCUUGUAGGUCUGGGCUGGAGGCAGCUUGUAAAUACAAAGAGAUGGAGCACAAAGGAGCAAUGAGAGGACAGCAGCUUUCCAUGCAGCGGUCCGUGCGUACCAGUGCUUGAGAUCCAUCCAUCCACUGGACCAAUUGCUGUUUGGGAGCAGCCCUGGAGAGGGUGAUUCAACAGGGCCUCUUUCAUCUUUGAUUUCUGUGAGCACAGUCUACAUUUGUGCUGUCCCCACCCCAGAUACUCCCAUCCAUCACUGUCUGUGUCCAACACCGAUAGCCACAAAUGAGCCUUUGGGGCAAGAGCAGGGAAUGCUGGUUAUCCCCUCCGUUAGCAGGACAGUACCACUGGGGCUAGUUAGCACAUGCUGGUGUGGAGCCAGAACAGCCGGGGUCGGUGCUGGUGAUAACCCCUGUCCUGACUCUUGCUGGGCAUGGCAGCACUGUGCCAGCCCCACGUGGGUGUCCAGAUCAACCUGCAGGGACAGCAGAGGUCCUUCUGCUUCAUUUGUGGCUUGCUGAACUUUACUCCAGUAAACAUAGGCAACGUGGAG
rnacentral:lncRNA from 1 species